rnacentral:rRNA from 1 species
UGGAUCCAGACUUUGAUCAUGGCUCAGGAUGAACGCUAGCUACAGGCUUAACACAUGCAAGUCGAGGGGAAACGACAUUGGAAGCUUGCUUCCGAUAGGCGUCGACCGGCGCACGGGUGAGUAACGCGUAUCCAACCUGCCCACCACUUGGGGAUAACCUUGCGAAAGUAAGACUAAUACCCAAUGAUAUCUCUAGAAGACAUCUGAAAGGGAUUAAAGAUUCAUCGGUGAUGGAUGGGGAUGCGUCUGAUUAGCUUGUUGGCGGGGGUAACGGCCCACCAAGGCGACGAUCAGUAGGGGUUCUGAGAGGAAGGUCCCCCACAUUGGAACUGAGACACGGUCCAAACUCCUACGGGAGGCAGCAGUGAGGAAUAUUGGUCAAUGGACGAGAGUCUGAACCAGCCAAGUAGCGUGCAGGAUGACGGCCCUAUGGGUUGUAAACUGCUUUUAUAAGGGAAUAAAGUGAGUCUCGUGAGACUUUUUGCAUGUACCUUAUGAAUAAGGACCGGCUAAUUCCGUGCCAGCAGCCGCGGUAGUACGGAAGGUCCGGGCGUUAUCCGGAUUUAUUGGGUUUAAAGGGAGCGUAGGCCGGAGAUUAAGCGUGUUGUGAAAUGUAGACGCUCAACGUCUGCACUGCAGCGCGAACUGGUUUCCUUGAGUACGCACAAAGUGGGCGGAAUUCGUGGUGUAGCGGUGAAAUGCUUAGAUAUCACGAAGAACUCCGAUUGCGAAGGCAGCUCACUGGAGCGCAACUGACGCUGAAGCUCGAAAGUGCGGGUAUCGAACAGGAUUAGAUACCCUGGUAGUCCGCACGGUAAACGAUGGAUGCCCGCUGUUGGUCUGAAUAGGUCAGCGGCCAAGCGAAAGCAUUAAGCAUCCCACCUGGGGAGUACGCCGGCAACGGUGCAACUCAAAUGAAUUGACGGA